GAAUUGUAGAGCUUUUUUCUUUUCAGGUGAAUUCAGACCUCACUGUUUUGAGUCAGAAUGAUCACCACAAGAACAUCUGACACUGAUUGCUGCUGAAGUGCCUGAUUAUGAGAGGGACACAGAAGAGAUCUACUGGAAGCAAGACUGAUGAGAUGGCAGUUAAUUGGAAAAAAGGAGGGAGUUGUGUCAGAUUUUUUAAAAGAUGCCUCUCUUAUCAGAAAGCAGAUAAAUGUACUUCAGAAGGCAAAUAAACUGCAAAUUUCUUGUACAGAAAAAAAUGCAUAUCCAGCUUCCUGCAGACAGAAAUCUGUUUUUUUAAGUAGUUGAGAAGCACAUAUGAAAUCAGCAGUGUGUAAACCCCUUCUUGUUGAGUGCAGUACUUGUGGAGUAUGAGAUACUUCCACGGGCACUAACAUCACCAGUGCUGCGUUUUCCAUGUCUGCAGCUGUCUGCUGCUUACUGCAGGCACAGCCUGAGUUGCCAUUUGUGAGUUGGAGGCCAGUCCUGUCAAAUGCUGAGUUUCUGCUGUGGGAGUCACUGGGUUAGUAUCUGGCUAAGGACUGAUCUGCAGGGACUAGAGCAAGUCUGUUGUUGAAGCUGCCAGUGGGACAUCAAGUGAUGGGACAUCUUUACAGUGAGGGUGGUAAAACACAGGCACAGGUUGCCCAGAGAGGUGGUAGAUGCACCAUCUCUGGAAACAUUCAAGGCCAGGCUGGAUGUGGCUCUGGGCAACCUGAUCUAGUUGAAGAUGUCCCUGCUCAUUGCAGGGUGGUUGGACUAGGUGACCUUUGAAGGCACCUUCCAACCUAAACUAUUCUAUGAUACUAUGAUUGUGAACCUUAUUGAAGAAUGAGAAAUGCAAAAGGCAGCAUUUCAAUACAUGUUUCUAUGAUUGUAGUCUGUUGGGGAGGGAUUGGAUCCAUCUGUCUCAUAGAGGCAGAAGAAUCUUUGGCAGCAGGCUGGCCAAUUUGGUGAGAUGGGCUUUAAACUGAAGGACUUGGGGUGGUGGGGAGAGAGGGAGGGUGUCCAGAGCAUCAAUGCUCACACCGUUGCUUCCUCUUGGGUAAUAGGUCUUGCUAACCCGUGCAGGGAUAGGUGUUACUUGGUUGCCUCUGAAGAUGAGGAUUGUAAGGCUAACUGUAUUAAGGGUGUUUAUGGUGAAUCUUACAGCCUUUCUAAGGAACCUGAUUGUGAAAUUAUAAAUUAAGCACCUGUUGCUUUUAGGAACUGCACAGAAUAUGCCCUGUGCAGCACUUUGAACACAAGCCUGUGCUGUCUGCUAUAACUUUCAGGUGUAUUAGACCGAGAGACCCCUCAACUGUAUUCUGUCAACAUGUGGAGACAAUUAUGCAGCCAAGUAUGCAAUAUUUUUUAAGUGUCCUGUGCCUUACCUAACUUCUCAGCAGUUCUCUCUGUGAAAAGCGCUAUUUUGUAAAAUUAUUCCCAAAGCAAGAUACUUCUUACAGCUUGAUUAAAGAAGGUGGGAAAGGAUGCUAAAUUAGGGACUUCCUCACUGGCUGCCUUGCUUCAGAUACAAUGUGUAUUGUAAUCUCUUUUUGACUGAGGUGCAUUUCCCUCCUGGCCAGCACAACCCUUCUUUAUCACUCUCAGAAUAGUAGAUUCUCUGGAUGAAUUAUGUUAAACCAGUGCCUCUUUGCCUGAGGCAGUUAAAGUUACUGUCAACAUGUUAACCAAGUUAUUGGUCUACUUUUCCACUGAGCCUUUUCAAAGCCACUCAGCUAAGCAGAUGAAUGAGACACCAGCUAUUCAGUUAGUAACUGAACCAAAAUGUCGUUUGUGAUUUUACCAGCAGUUCUUGUGAACAGCAUUAUUUGAUAGUCGCUUGUGUGGAAAGACAUUAAACAGUUCUCAUUCCUCA